ensembl:lncRNA
GCAAACUGCCCCACCCCCUGAAUCAUCUGCUUCAGCUGGUUACAUUGAUUCUUCAGUCCUUGGGCGAGCUGAGAAUUUUCCUGCAUCUCUCCUCUCCGGUAAACUAUAGGGGAAAAAAAGGAAAUGGAACCUAUGAAAUAAAAGAUGCUUAAGAGCCAUACCAAUGAAAUUCAGUAACCGCUUUGGACUUCCCUGGUGGCUCAGUGGUAAAGAAUCUACCUGCCAAUGCAGGAGACAUGGUUCCAGCCCCGGUCUGGAAAGAUCCUACAUGCCGAGGAGCAGCUGAGCCCGUGACCACAACUACCGACCCUGUGCUCUAGAGCCCGUGCUCUGACACGAGGGAAGCCACUGCAAUAAGAAGCCUGCUCAUCGCAACUAGAGAGCAGCCCGCACAGCAACAGAGACCCAGCACAGCCAAAAAUAAAUAAAUAAAUAAAAUGUCAGAAAAAGUAACAGCUUUAUCAAGAUUUAAUUCACAUACCAUACAACUCACCAAUUUAAACAAUUCAGUGGUUUUUAGUAUAUUCACAGAGUUGUACAACCAUCACCAUAAUCAAGUUUAGAAGAGUUUUGUCACCUCAGAAAGAAACCUCACACCUAUUGGCAGACAUUCUACAUUCCCCCACAGCUUUUACAGCCCUGCUGCUGCUGCGUCGCUUCAGUCGUGUCCGACUCUGCGACCCCAUAAACGGCAGCCAACCAGGCUUCCCGUCCCUGGGAUUCUCCAGGCAAGAACACUGGAGUGGGCUGCCAUUUCCUUCUCCAAGUCCUAGACAACUACUAAUCUCCUUUCUGUGUCUUUGGAUUUGUUUUGGAUGCUUCAUACAAGUGAAAUCAUAUAAUAUAUGGCCUUUUGUGACUAGCUUCUUUCACCUUAGGAUAAUGUUUUCAAGUAUAACCUUGUUUUAAAUUUUCCUGCUCUUAUAGGAGGGCUUCCUUGGUGGUUCAGUGGUAAAGAAUCUGCCUGCCAGUGCAGGAG